UAGGGAAUCUUCGGCAAUGGACGGAAGUCUGACCGAGCAACGCCGCGUGAGUGAAGAAGGUUUUCGGAUCGUAAAGCUCUGUUGUAAGAGAAGAACGAGUGUGAGAGUGGAAAGUUCACACUGUGACGGUAUCUUACCAGAAAGGGACGGCUAACUACGUGCCAGCAGCCGCGGUAAUACGUAGGUCCCGAGCGUUGUCCGGAUUUAUUGGGCGUAAAGCGAGCGCAGGCGGUUAGAUAAGUCUGAAGUUAAAGGCUGUGGCUUAACCAUAGUAGGCUUUGGAAACUGUUUAACUUGAGUGCAAGAGGGGAGAGUGGAAUUCCAUGUAUAGCGGUGAAAUGCGUAGAUAUAUGGAGGAACACCGGUGGCGAAAGCGGCUCUCUGGCUUGUAACUGACGCUGAGGCUCGAAAGCGUGGGGAGCAAACAGGAUUAGAUACCCUGGUAGUCCACGCUGUAAACGAUGAGUGCUAGGUGUUAGACCCUUUCCGGGGUUUAGUGCCGUAGCUAACGCAUUAAGCACUCCGCCUGGGGAGUACGACCGCAAGGUUG
rnacentral:rRNA from 1 species